CGUAGGUGGAAAGGCGAACCCUGAGUGGAGGAUGUUCCCACUGCCUAAAGAAUGAUUGACUGGAACUGCACUUUUGUGAGAUUAUAAAUAUACCACGGAGGGUAACGAAGCUACAGAAGAAUGGAAGAAGACAGCCUGGAAGACUCAAACCUUCCUCCAAAAGUUUGGCAUUCUGAGAUGACGGUGUCAGUGACAGGCGAACCACCUAGUACCGUAGAAGAAGAAGGAAUACCUAAAGAAACAGACAUAGAAAUCAUCCCAGAAAUCCCAGAAACCCUAGAGCCACUGUCCCUUCCAGAUGUGCUGAGGAUCUCGGCAGUUCUGGAGGACACCACAGACCAGCUCUCUAUUCUGAACUACAUCAUGCCCGUUCAGUACGAAGGGAGACAGAGCAUCUGCGUGGUAUAGACCCACUCACCAUGAG
rnacentral:lncRNA from 1 species